rnacentral:rRNA from 1 species
GAUGAACGCUGACAGAAUGCUUAACACAUGCAAGUCUUGGGCGAAUCUGUGCUUGCACCGGCUAGCCAAGGCGGACGGGUGAGGAACGCGUAAAGAACUUGCCCUGCAGACAGGGAUAACAGACGGAAACGACUGAUAACACCUGAUACAGUUGCCGGCACGCAUGUGCCGGGCAAUGAAAAGAGAUGCUGCAGGAGAGCUUUGCGGCGUAUUAGCUAGUUGGUUAGGUGACGGCUCACCGAGGCGAUGAUAGAGAGCCGGCCUGAGAGGGUGAACGGGCACGCUGGAACUGAGACACGGCCCAGACUCCUACGGGAGGCAGCCGUAGCGAAUCCUCCACAAUGGGCUGAAGCUUGACGGAGCAACGCCGCGUGAGUGAUGAAGGUCUUCGGAUUGUAAGACGCUGUUAUUAGGGAAGAACAAAUGUGUCAGUAACUAUGCACGUCUUGACGGUACCUGAUCAGAAAGCCACGGCUAACUACGUG